UACAGAGGUCCCAAGCGUUGUUCGGAUUCACUGGGCGUAAAGGGUGCGUAGGUGGCCGGGUAAGUUUGAUGUGAAAGCUCGGAGCUUAACUCCGAAAUGGCAUUGAAUACUAUCUGGCUGGAGGGUCAGAAGGGAGACUGGAAUUCUCGGUGUAGCAGUGAAAUGCGUAGAUAUCGAGAGGAACACCAGUGGCGAAGGCGAGUCUCUGGACGACACCUGACACUGAGGCACGAAAGCUAGGGGAGCAAACAGG
rnacentral:rRNA from 1 species